AAGGUGAUAAUAGAAAAUUUUCCUGAGGGACACACAACAGAUUAUAAUUAAUCAUCUGUGCUCACAGCCAUCCAAAAUGCAACAUCUUUUUUUUAUUAAAAUUGAAUUUGUAAAAUUUGUUACAAGUUCAGCGUAUUUAUAGCAGGUUGCUUACAGUGAUCUAAGCAAAUCCAAACAAAGAUAAUCAAACAAUGUUUAGUGAACUGUGUACUUUAGAAGGAAGAUGACCGAUUAGAAAGUCAAAGAUUAUGAAAGAUAAUGCGCUUAAUUUGAAGAGAAACUAACCAUUAUACUGUUGAUCCCGGAAU
rnacentral:misc_RNA from 1 species